AACGAACGCUGGCGGCAGGCUUAACACAUGCAAGUCGAACGCAUCGCAAGAUGAGUGGCAGACGGGUGAGUAACGCGUGGGAACAUACCCUUUUCUACGGAAUAGCUCUGGGAAACUGGAAUUAAUACCGUAUACGCCCUACGGGGGAAAGAUUUAUCGGGAAGGAUUGGCCCGCGUUGGAUUAGCUAGUUGGCGGGGUAAAGGCCUACCAAGGCGACGAUCCAUCGCUGGGCUGAGAGGAUGAGCAGCCACAUUGGGACUGAGACACGGCCGAAACUCCUACAGGAGGCAGCAGUGGGGAAUAUUGGACAAUGGGCGCAAGCCUGAUCCAGCCAUGCCGCGUGAGUGAUGAAGGCCUUAGGGUUGUAAAGGUCUUUCACCCAUUAAGAUAAUGACGGUAGUCGAAGAAGAAGCCCCGACUAUCUUCGUGCAGGCCGCCGCCGUAA
rnacentral:rRNA from 1 species